AACCAACCGGGAUUGCCUCAGUAACGGCGAGUGAAGCGGCAAGAGCUCAAAUUUGAAAUCUGGGGUCUUCGACCUCCGAGUUGUAAUUUGAAGAGGAUGCCUCGGUUGCGGCCCCGGCCUAAGUUCCUUGGAACAGGACGUCGCAGAGGGUGAGAAUCCCGUACGCGGCUGUGGGUUUGCUUCCAUGUGUGGCUCCCUCGAAGAGUCGAGUUGUUUGGGAAUGCAGCUCAAAAUGGGUGGUAAGUUUCAUCUAAGGCUAAAUACUGGCGAGAGACCGAUAGCGCACAAGUAGAGUGAUCGAAAGAUGAAAAGCACUUUGAAAAGAGAGUUAAACAGUACGUGAAAUUGUUGAAAGGGAAGCGCUUGCAAUCAGACUUGCGUUCGGUGGAUCAACGUUCCUUCUGGUUCGUGCACUCCGCCGUGCCGCAGGCCAGCAUCGGUUAGAGCGGCGGGACAAAGGCUCCGGGAAUGUGGCUCUCUUCGGGGAGUGUUAUAGCCCGGUGCGUAAUGCCGUCAGCCCUGACCGAGGUCCGCGCUUACGCUAGGAUGCUGGCUUAAUGGUUGUAAGCGACCCGUCUUGAAACACGGACCAAGGAGUCUAACAUCUACGCGAGUGUUUGGGCGUCAAACCCAUGCGCGCAAUGAAAGUGAACGGAGGUGGGAGCCCUCGGGCGCACCAUCGACCGAUCCUGAUGUCCUCGGAUGGAUUUGAGUAGGAGCGUAGCUGUUGGGACCCGAAAGAUGGUGAACUAUGCCUGAAUAGGGUGAAGCCAGAGGAAACUCUGGUGGAGGCUCGCAGCGGUUCUGACGUGCAAAUCGAUCGUCAAAUUUGGGUAUAGGGGCGAAAGACUAAUCGAACCAUCUAGUAGCUGGUUCCUGCCGAAGUUUCCCUCAGGA
rnacentral:rRNA from 1 species